rnacentral:rRNA from 1 species
CGAACGCUGGCGGCGUGCUUAACACAUGCAAGUCGAACGGAAAGGCCCUGCUUUUGUGGGGUGCUCGAGUGGCGAACGGGUGAGUAACACGUGAGUAACCUGCCCUUGACUUUGGGAUAACUUCAGGAAACUGGGGCUAAUACCGGAUAGGAGCUCCUGCUGCAUGGUGGGGGUUGGAAAGUUUCGGCGGUUGGGGAUGGACUCGCGGCUUAUCAGCUUGUUGGUGGGGUAGUGGCUUACCAAGGCUUUGACGGGUAGCCGGCCUGAGAGGGUGACCGGCCACAUUGGGACUGAGAUACGGCCCAGACUCCUACGGGAGGCAGCAGUGGGGAAUAUUGCACAAUGGGCGGAAGCCUGAUGCAGCAACGCCGCGUGCGGGAUGACGGCCUUCGGGUUGUAAACCGCUUUCGCCUGUGACGAAGCGUGAGUGACGGUAAUGGGUAAAGAAGCACCGGCUAACUACGUGCCAGCAGCCGCGGUGAUACGUAGGGUGCGAGCGUUGUCCGGAUUUAUUGGGCGUAAAGGGCUCGUAGGUGGUUGAUCGCGUCGGAAGUGUAAUCUUGGGGCUUAACCCUGAGCGUGCUUUCGAUACGGGUUGACUUGAGGAAGGUAGGGGAGAAUGGAAUUCCUGGUGGAGCGGUGGAAUGCGCAGGUAUCAGGAGGAACACCAGUGGCGAAGGCGGUUCUCUGGGCCUUUCCUGACGCUGAGGAGCGAAAGCGUGGGGAGCGAACAGGCUUAGAUACCCUGGUAGUCCACGCUGUAAACGGUGGGUACUAGGUGUGGGGUCCAUUCCACGGGUUCCGUGCCGUAGCUAACGCUUUAAGUACCCCGCCUGGGGAGUACGGCCGCAAGGCUAAAACUCAAAGGAAUUGACGGGGCCCCGCACAAGCGGCGGAGCAUGCGGAUUAAUUCGAUGCAACGCGUAGAACCUUACCUGGGUUUGACAUGGAUCGGGAGUGCUCAGAGAUGGGUGUGCCUCUUUUGGGGUCGGUUCACAGGUGGUGCAUGCCUGUCGUCAGCUCGUGUCGUGAGAUGUUGGGUUAAGUCCCGCAACGAGCGCAACCCUUGUUCACUGUUGCCAGCACGUUAUGGUGGGGACUCAGUGGAGACCGCCGGGGUCAACUCGGAGGAAGGUGGGGAUGACGUCAAGUCCUCAUGCCCCUUAUGUCCAGGGCUUCACGCAUGCUACAAUGGCUGGUACAGAGAGUGGCGAGCCUGUGAGGGUGAGCGAAUCUCGGAAAGCCGGUCUCAGUUCGGAUUGGGGUCUGCAACUCGACCUCAUGAAGUCGGAGUCGCUAGUAAUCGCAGAUCAGCAACGCUGCGGUGAAUACGUUCCCGGGGCUUGUACACACCGCCCGUCAAGUCAUGAAAGUUGGUAACACCCGAAGCCGGUGGCCUAACCGUUGUGGGGGAGCCGUCGAAGGUGGGACUGGUGAUUAGG